ACCUCCGCUGCCGCCCUUCCUACUUGCUUAAUUUUCUUCCACCACCGAAUAGUAUAUGAUUAACCUGUCACCACAGCCUGCCGAUUAUUAUGUUUCCCUCCAUACUGGGGAAGUGGGGAUCAGUCUCUGCUUUCCUUUUCUUUCCGUGGAUUUUUAAUGUCUCGCUGCAGACGAAAUAUAAUACUAGUUGGUCCAGCCAUUUUAAGUUUGGCGAUAUCCUGGUUAGCUAUGGGUAAGUCGUGGCACUGUCACCGUCCUAGUUUCCUAUCAUUUCCGCUCACCUCAGUCCACCUCCAAUUUUGGGUUGGCCUGCUUGACCGCGGUACUGAUUGGCCAGUUGCGUGCCUCUAGAGCUAAUUUAUAUGGCUCAAGUAAAUCCAAGUGAUGGUAACAAAAAUACAGAGCUGUAUUCUUUUUACUCGAUAUAAUAGCUUUGCAUAUUUAUCUGCUUCUCUACUACUAGGCGGGGAGGACGUUUCUGCCUUUUCUUUUACCUUCUACUAAAAGGAUAGUAUACUGGUACCUUUUCAGGUUAUAUUUGACAUUAGGCGUAUUUUUAUUCCAAUUUUGGGUUGGCCUGCUUGACCACGGUACUGAUUAGCCAGUUGCGCUUGCCUCUGGAGCUAGUUUAUAUGGAUCAAGUAGACCCAAGUGAUGGAAACAAAACUACAGAGCUGUAUUAUUUUACUUGAUAUAAUAGCUUUGCAUAUUUAUCUGCUUCUCUACUACUAGGCGGGGAGGACAUUUAUGCCUUUUUUACCUUCUACUAAAAGGAUAGUAUCCUGAUAUCCUUUUCAAGUUAUUCGACAUAAGGCACAUUUUUACUCACUUUUUGACUUGUUUAAUUGAUGACUUAUGUGGACGUUCUGCCAACCUUGUACACUUG
rnacentral:lncRNA from 1 species